UGGCACUAGAAGAAACCAUCCUAUGUGAGGUAUCCCAGUCACAAAAAGACAAACAUGGUUGAUUUAACCUGUUCCUGCUGAUGAAGAUUGUUUUGCUGAUACUAGAAACAUAUUUACAGUAUCCGUCCAUUGACUAAGGACUAUCAGCUUUCCAGGAAACUUCUAAGGUUCUAAUACCACAAUCUAGCCCUGUACAUGCUCACAGAAUCAUCUGUAUCAUGACUCAGAAGCUGUUAUCUUAGUCACAUUAGGAUUGAUGAUUUGCAGCUAGGAACAAGAGACAAGAGACAAUAUGUGGCAUUUGUCUUCCUGUGUCUUGAUUAUGUCACUCCCUAUCUUUCUGUUCCCAAGAAACCCCUUUUCCAAAAAAAAUGGUCUCUGCUUGCUAAAACUAAGUAAUCUCCUUAUGUGUGGGAUAAAGGACUUUUUGUUCCUCCAUUCCAAAUACCUGUGGUGCCUAUUAGCAUAUCAAAGUGUAUGCUAGCCUUUAGGCUCCUUCAAUCACUUCCCCUAAAAUUAGGAAUAACACAGGAAUCUACUCUUCCCAUACUUAUUCAAAUACAUCUUGAAGUCUUAGCUAGAGCAACAAGACGUUUGAAGGAAAUAAAGAAGAUGUGAACAGGGAAAGAAGAAGUAAA